rnacentral:pre_miRNA from 1 species
GACAUACUCCCUCCGUCCGGAAAUACUUGUCAUUGGAAUGGAUGUAUCUAGAUGUAUUUUAGUUUUAGAUACAUCACUUUUAUCCAUUUGUGCGACAAGUAAUUCCGGAUGGAGGGAGUACAUC